rnacentral:rRNA from 1 species
ACGUAGGGGGCUAGCGUUAUCCGGAAUUACUGGGCGUAAAGGGUGCGUAGGCGGUCUUUCAAGUCAGAAGUGAAAGGCUACGGCUCAACCGUAGUAAGCUUUUGAAACUGUAAGACUUGAGUGCAGGAGAGGAGAGUGGAAUUCCUAGUGUAGCGGUGAAAUGCGUAGAUAUUAGGAGGAACACCAGUUGCGAAGGCGGCUCUCUGGACUGUAACUGACGCUGAGGCACGAAAGCGUGGGGAGCAAACAGGAUUAGAUACCCUGGUAGUCCACGCCGUAAACGAUGAGUACUAGCUGUCGGAGGUUACCCCCUUCGGUGGCGCAGCUAACGCAUUAAGUACUCCGCCUGGGAAGUACGCUCGCAAGAGUG